UAUCGCUCUGAUGCUCUUCUUCUUUCGCAGAUCUGCUGCACGGAGCUUGCCUGAAAACGCUCUUGACGAGUGGCGACUUGCAUGGUUCUUCGCCGCAUGCGUGCCCGUCCUGUUCAUCUGUGGUACGCCGAAAGUUAGUCACAGAUCUUCGAAAUAAAACGUACCUCUUUUCUGAAAGGUAUGGCCUCCGAAGAACUUCAGAGAUCUUGGCACUGGCCUCCCUCUCGUUCUAAAGCAGGCAAUCUCUCAGGUGCGUUCCUCUUUCCCUUCCUGUAG
rnacentral:lncRNA from 1 species